rnacentral:rRNA from 1 species
UACGAAGGGUGCAAGCGUUACUCGGAAUUACUGGGCGUAAAGCGUGCGUAGGUGGUGAGUUAAGUCUGUCGUGAAAGCCCCGGGCUCAACCUGGGAAUGGCGAUGGAUACUGGCUCGCUAGAGUGCGGUAGAGGAGACUGGAAUUCCUGGUGUAGCGGUGAAAUGCGCAGAUAUCAGGAGGAACACCAAUGGCGAAGGCAGCUCGCUGGAACGGUACUGACGCUGAGGCGCGAAAGCGUGGGGAGCAAACAGG